rnacentral:rRNA from 1 species
GGCAAAAGCUCAAAUUUGAAAUCCGGUACCCUUUGGUGCCUGACUUGUAAUUUGGAGAGACAAAUUUGGUUGAUGGCGCCGGCCUAGGUUCCUUUGAACAGGACAACAUAGAGGGUGAGAAUCCCGUUCCUGGCUGGAUGGCUGUCACAUUGCUAGAUUGUCUUCGACGAGUCGAGUUGUUUGGGAAUGCAGCUCAAAAUGGGUGGUAAAUGUCAUCUAAAGCUAAAUAUUGGCGAGAGACCGAUAGCGCACAAGUAGAGUGAUCGAAAGAUGAAAAGCACUUUGAAAAGAGAGUCAAAAAGUACGUGAAAUUGCUGAAAGGGAAGCGCUUGAGACCAGACUCGAACCGUGGUGAUCAGCCGUGCUCCUGUGCGGUGUCACUUGCCAUGGUUUGGGCCAGCAUCGGUUCUGGCGGUCGGAUAAAAGGUGGAGGAAUGUAGCUUCUUUCGGGGAGUGUUAAUUAGCCUCCACCACAAUGCGGCCAGCUGGGACCGAGGAUCGCGCUUCAAUGAAGCUAGGAUGCUGGCAUAAUGGUCUUAAGCGACCCGUCUUGAAAACACGGA